rnacentral:rRNA from 1 species
GACGAACGCUGGCGGCGUGCUUAACACAUGCAAGUCGAACGGAAAGGCCUCUUUCGGGGGGUACUCGAGUGGCGAACGGGUGAGUAACACGUGAGUAACCUGCCCUUGACUUUGGGAUAACUUCAGGAAACUGGGGCUAAUACCGGAUAGGAGCUCCUGCUGCAAGGUGGGGGUUGGAAAGUUUCGGCGGUUGGGGAUGGACUCGCGGCUUAUCAGCUUGUUGGUGGGGUAGUGGCUUACCAAGGCUUUGACGGGUAGCCGGCCUGAGAGGGUGACCGGCCACAUUGGGACUGAGAUACGGCCCAGACUCCUACGGGAGGCAGCAGUGGGGAAGAUUGCACAAUGGGUGGAAGCCUGAUGCAGCAACGCCGUGUGCGGGAUGACGGCCUUCGGGUUGUAAACCGCUUUCGCUCAUGACGAAGCUUUGUGUGACGGUAGUGGGUAAAGAAGCACCGGCUAACUACGUG